rnacentral:rRNA from 1 species
AGAGAGUCGGGCGGUUCCCCCGUUCGGGGGGACGAGGGUGACGAGGUGGUGCAUGGUUGUCGUCAGCUCGUGUCGUGAGAUGUUGGGUUAAGUCCCGCAACGAGCGCAACCCUCGACCUUAGUUGCCGGCAUUCAGUUGGGCACUCUAAGGUGACUGCCGGCUAAAAGUCGGAGGAAGGUGGGGAUGACGUCAAAUCAUCAUGCCCCUUAUGACCUGGGCUACACACGUGCUACAAUGGGCGGUACAAAGGGUCGCGAACCCGCGAGGGGGAGCCAAUCCCAAAAAGCCGCUCUCAGUUCGGAUUGCAGGCUGCAACUCGCCCGCAUGAAGCCGGAAUCGCUAGUAAUCGCGGAUCAGCAUGCCGCGGUGAAUACGUUCCCGGGCCUU